rnacentral:rRNA from 1 species
UGGGGAAUUUUGGACAAUGGGCGAAAGCCUGAUCCAGCAAUGCCGCGUGUGUGAAGAAGGCCUUCGGGUUGUAAAGCACUUUUGUCCGGAAAGAAAUCCUUGGCUCUAAUACAGUCGGGGGAUGACGGUACCGGAAGAAUAAGCACCGGCUAACUACGUGCCAGCAGCCGCGGUAAUACGUAGGGUGCAAGCGUUAAUCGGAAUUACUGGGCGUAAAGCGUGCGCAGGCGGUUUGCUAAGACCGAUGUGAAAUCCCCGGGCUCAACCUGGGAACUGCAUUGGUGACUGGCAGGCUAGAGUAUAGCAGAGGGGGGUAGAAUUCCACGUGUAGCAGUGAAAUGCGUAGAGAUGUGGAGGAAUACCGAUGGCGAAGGCAGCCCCCUGGGCCAAUACUGACGCUCAUGCACGAAAGCGUGGGGAGCAAACAGGAUUAGAUACCCUGGUAGUCCACGCCCUAAACGAUGUCAACUAGUUGUUGGGGAUUCAUUUCCUUAGUAACGUAGCUAACGCGUGAAGUUGACCGCCUGGGGAGUACGGUCGCAAGAUUAAAACUCAAAGGAAUUGACGGGGUCAUAGCUG